rnacentral:rRNA from 1 species
AGGACGAACGCUGGCGGCGUGCUUAACACAUGCAAGUCGAGCGGUAAGGCCUUUCGGGGUACACGAGCGGCGAACGGGUGAGUAACACGUGGGUGAUCUGCCCUGCACUUCGGGAUAAGCCUGGGAAACUGGGGUCUAAUACCGGAUAUGACCUCCUAUCGCAUGGUGGGUGGUGGAAAGAUUUAUCGGUGCAGGAUGGGCCCGCGGCCUAUCAGCUUGUUGGUGGGG